rnacentral:rRNA from 1 species
GACGAACGCUGGCGGCGUGCUUAACACAUGCAAGUCGAGCGGUAAGGCCCUUUCGGGGGUACACGAGCGGCGAACGGGUGGGUAACACGUGGGUGACCUGCCCUCAGCUCUGGGAUAAGCCCGGGAAACUGGGUCUAAUACCGGAUAUGACUCCAUGACGCAUGUUGUGGGGUGGAAAGCCUUGUGCGGCUGGAGAUGGGCCCGCGGCCUAUCAGCUUGUUGGUGGGGUGAUGGCCACCAAGGCGACGACGGGUAGCCGGCCUGAGAGGGCGACCGGCCACACUGGGACUGAGACACGGCCCAGACUCCUACGGGAGGCAGCAGUGGGGAAUCUUGCGCAAUGGGCGAAAGCCUGACGCAGCGACGCCGCGUGAGGGAUGACGGCCU